ensembl:lncRNA
GUCAGUUAUCACAGGACAACACGUACAGCACAGAGCUUCAAUAUUUUACACGUACACACAGAAUAACAUAACGGCGACUCUUGGGUACUGGGUAAGCUGAUGCAAUUCCACAACUUUAUUUUUUCAGUCACAGGAGCUAUAUUAAAAGAGAAACUAAACAGGAAACCUUCAGGAGUUUACACAUCAUGGAAGCACAUGCGUCCGUAACAAUAAUGUCAAACAGCAAUGUAGUGUGAGAACAUGAGUUUAUAAACUUCUUUCAUACAUGUCAACCUAGAAGCUCUUUUAUUUUAGAGCAGAAAAAACAUCAAAUAGGAAGUAUUGACUUUGUUCUUAUGCAUGUAAGAACUAAAUACAGACAGAAUAAACCAACAGUCAUUUCACAAAGCCUUUUAACUACUAUUAAUACUGGUAUUUGGCCUUGCUUGAUAACAGUCCUCCAGCGCCACUCACUACCUUAGGAACGGGCAAACACCAUUUAAACCAGCCUGUAAGACUAUUUUAAUCAGUCAAAAAAGGGGGCUUUUCGCUCCCUCCAUAAAAGAGCAAGCAAGGUCUGCAGAUACAGUCUACUCAGUCAAAGACUUAAUUUAAAAAAAAAAAAAAAAAAAAAAAAAAAAAUGAAGCAUGUGUUCAUCCAAAGUACAUGCACUGCUGAAGAAAUAUAUCAACCCAUAGUACUGCUAAUUAACUUGAUUUUUAUAGUUUGUUUAGAGCAUCAGCAGUGCCAAACACCAUGGCUAAUUGAAGGGGAGAAAAGCAGGCAAGUGGACUAAAUACUGUGGCUAGAUGUCCUUAUGGAAGCCCCAGAGCAAUACAGUGUCAACCAAAACAUGACCAGUCAGAAAAGACAGACAAGCAUCUGUUGUCUGGGAUAUCCAGGGGUCUGAGAACAGAAGGCACAUUCUGAACCUAACACCGAUUAUGAAGCAUCACCUGUUAAAGCCCAGCACCUGAACUUAAGUGUAGUCUUUGUUAUUGGAGCAUUCCCAAUUCAUUUUUGGGCCCUGAGCCAAUUGUAUUGUAGCCCCUCAAACCUUAGGAGAAAACAUAAGUAUAAGUGUAGUGACUUUAGAUUAGUUUUGGCAGAAGGUUGAGCACACAAGAAUGAUGUACCUUAAAAACAAACAAACAACAAAACAAUGGGAACACACAUUUAGACCUUGUUGACUACAGAUGCUGACUCAUCAUGCACAUCUGGCUUAGGGACCAAACCAGGAAAAAGUCCAAAGAAUAGUGCAUGAUGUCAAAAUAAAUAUCUGUAGAAAAUAUGGGCUGAUCUGGAACAGCUUUACAAACUAAGGCACCAGCAAAGCAGCACUACUAAAAUAUGUAAUUCAAUAAUCAGAGGGGUUAUCUUCAAAUUUAAAAAAAAUGCAGAUAUACUGUAUAUCAGUAGAAACUUUUCAGUUGGUGUGUCUACAUUACUGAAAGGUCAAACCCUUUAAAAAGAUCAAAAUUUCAGUUGCUGGGUAACCUUUCUGGAAAUAACCCGCAGCCUUGUAUCAUAACUACUGCUGUGGCUCGU